GGGGUGUUAGCUCAGUUGGUUAGAGUGCCGGCCUGUCAAGCCGGAGGUCGCGGGUUCAAGUCCCGUACAUCCCGCCA
rnacentral:tRNA from 1 species